UAGCAGUAUAAAAUUGCAAUUGACCAUUUGAAGUAGAUUAUGAAUGGGUCUGUAUUUCCAGUAUUAUGUUGAUAGAGGGAAUUUUUAUUUAGUACAAUACAAGCUAUAGGUGAUGGAGUGAGGUGGAAUUUUUCUCUAAAUGUCUAAAACAUUAGCAUGUCUGACACAAUCACUUGCACAUAGGAUUGGUUUGGGCUAGAAUAAUUGUAAUAUGUUUUUAAAAAUAAAUUAAAUGGGCUGUUUGAAACUUUAGGAACCAGAUGAUCCUGAUGCCCCAGAUGAACAUGAGUCUUCUCCACCUGAAGAUGCCCCACUGUACCCCCAUUCACCUGGUUCCCAGUAUCAACAGAAUAACCACGUGCAUGGACAGCCAUAUACGGGCCCGGCAGCACAUCAUAUGAACAACCCUCAGCGAACUGGCCAACGAGCACAAGAAAACUACGAAGGCAGUGAAGAAGUUUCCCCGCCUCAGACAAAAGAUUAGUGAAAUGCACAUAAUCAAUUAACUUGCUCCAUCAAGACUGUGCACCCAGGCCUUACAGUCCAACUUUUCUCUGUGUCUGGCUAAUAUUUAAAACUAGAAAAACUAUUCCUAAUCAACAUGGAGUGGAGAGUCUAUUCACUGUCUUAUCUGCAGAAAAUUGCUGUCAAUAUAUAACCCGCCUGCAGUGGAAAGUGUAUAGUGUUUUGUAAUAAAUGGCCUGAUGCUAAUGUGUAAAUGGCAAAGGUGUAUAUAGUAUAUUAAUGUUUGACUGUUAAUUCUUGAGCAAGAAACAUUUUUUUUUUGUCUUGAUGAGACUCACAGAUCUACAAAAACAAAAAAAUAAUUUCUCGAUAUAUCUGCUGCGCUCUGCAACCAGUGUUGCCUGCCUCAUGGCAGUUGGAUCAACUCCUUUACGAAAAAGCCUAUCCAUGUCAACCACAAAAAUAGUUUCAUGUUAAUUCUUUGCCACUGGAGUCGAUUUUACUAUGAGCAACUUAAUGGCUGGUAACCUUUUAAUUAUUUGGUUGAUGUGGAAAAUUGGUGAUGUAACAUUGUUUCUAGAUCUUUUUUCAUUGCCUUUUUCAUUCUGGUAUUAGGUUAAUCACUUUGAAGCUAUAGUUAUGCUGUAACAUUUAGCAUGGCUUCACACCAAGUUAGUGUAGCCAAUGAGGGGAAAAAAAAAAACAAAAAACAAACAUGACAGCAGUUGUCCCAAUGUGACAACUGUAUUGCUCAGAACUUUUUCUUCUUACACCUAGACUAUAAAAUGGGGAGGGAAAAUGUGACAAACAAGUGGUUUUCAGUUUCACAUAUGUUCCUCACAUCUGAUGUUUGACAGUUCUCUCUCUGGGUGGGAUAAAGAACACUUAGUUUUCAGUAAUAGGAAUUUAAAAGAUUUAAAACAAAUAUGCAAAAAUUUGCUAUGCCAGGAUGCCUGGAGCAUAAUAGACUGUAUUUGGUGUGCUUGUUUUGUUUCUUUGGUAGAGCUUAUUAGAUAAACUUCUAACACUUUCCUUCUACUGCAUCCCAGUGAAGUGGAAGUCAACAAAAUCACAGAGUACUUGUGAGUGCCACUGCACCAAGUUAACUUGCUGGUUUUCUGCUCGUUCACAGUUCUACUUGAAAGCGAGAAUUGUCUUAGCUCUUUAUCCAUUAUACAGAAAAUCUUAACAUUAGAAGCAGGGUUUAAAUAUAAAAGAAACUACUGGUUAGUCAAAUACAAUUCUGAGGUAUCUCUAUUCCAGAAUAAACAUUUGUUUAAAGACUUAAAGAAACGCAUCAGUAAAUACUGUAUUUAAAUGAAAAUUGGUAACUUGAAUGUGUGUAAUUUUUUGGAACCUGUCUAAAAACCAAAUACCCCUGCAAAACAGAUACAGCCCACCCUAUACUAUUUAAAUAUUUUGCUGUUUUAUUUUAUAGAAAUUAUUUUGCUGAAUUCACAAAUAGAAUUUGAUUUAAGAAGAA